CCGCACAUGCUCAAAUGGCCUCUGAGAGGCCCUAGUCUAGUUUUUUCCUUGAUCUAAGGAGUCAGAAGAAUGAACCCGAGCAUUUAAAAAACAGAUACAGAUGGCACAAAAAAAGGGCGAAGUGUCCUGAUGAACCAGACAGUGGAUCUGCCUAACAAAUUAAUGCCAGGAGGUUAAACCUGGCAACUUCUCCAAGAAUGGCAGCGUGAGGAGAAGAAGAGGUUAGCAGCAACAAGGAACAGACAACACAGCUGGUUUGCUGCUUCAGCAUCUCUUACAAGAAAAUCAUAUGCGGAGCCAAAUAAUAGGACUAUCAAAGCUGGAAAGUCCAAUGGAACUGUGAUAGAGAAUUCCUACCAUCAACUGUACCUCCACCAUGCUUGAGGUAAAGGGAAGUAAGAGAAUUCCUGCAAGCAUCCAAAAGCAAGGGAAAAUAGGUGGAUGUCAGCUGGAGAAAUUAACUAUGCUGAUCAUUAGUGGAAGCACUUGGGCCCAGAGAGAGAAUGAUAUUCUGCCUUCCUGCACAGACUUGAUUUCUACAUGCAAAAACAUUUUUAUUAAUAUUUGUGAUUUAUUAUACAUUCAUGCCAAUUUCCAUAUUUGUCCAUGUCAAGAAAGCAUUAACACUGAGUUUUUCACAAAUUAUGUUACAUAAGAGUAAGCCCAUUGGAAAUAAUGAGCUUAAUCUUGUGUAACUGUGCCAUCAGUUUUAUAGGCGAUAUUAUUUUAUUUCUACAUGGGAAUCCUUUUCUAAAAAAUCAGUAUUUAGGAUUCCACAACAUUCAUGCUAAAUGAGUGAACAAUACCAUCCACUACCUUCCCCACUAUUCGCACAGGAAGGAGAAAGGGAAUGCCGCUUUGAGACGGUAUAAAACCAAAGAGGGGAACUCCAGUACAGAGAAGGCAGCAGCUUUUGAGCAAGGAGCUCUCCACAGGGUGUGGUGCUGAAAUCAGACUGGAGCAAAGUUCCUCCAGGGCUACAUACUUCUCAGUGUUGGUCUGGAGCAGCAUCACUCCAGGAUCCAUACCCUGAAAGAAAAUACCCAGGGAACUCUAGAAUCAUAAUAUAGGCAGUGUUCCCUCCAACAGGGAUUCCCAGACAUUGUUGACUACAACUCCCAUAAUCCCCAAGCAAAGGCUAUUGCAGCUGGGGAUGCUGGGAGUUGUAGCCAACAACAUAUGGGAAUCCCUGUUUGAAGGAACACUGAAUAUGGGACCUCAAACAGUUGAGGAUUAGAAAUAGAGGUACCAACUCACUCCAUCAUUCCCUCCCUUCUUUCAAGAAGAGGUGAUGAGUACAAGAAGUCUUGUGCGGUGUCAUUUAUGUAUCUAAAGAAUUUCAGGAUUUGGCCUGAUAAAAAUUGCAUUAAGAUUGUCUAUAUUUGAAUUUUUUCCUCUGUCAGUUUAAAGAUGGAAUAAAACACGGUAGCCCUAUUCUAUUAUUCCUUACAGUAGCAAUUCCAAUUCUUGCUACCCACUAUUGCAAAACGUACCUUUUCCCCAGGCAAUUCCUCAAUGUUGGUGGGAAGCACAGACUGCACUCCCACACGAUCCACAAUGCUGCACGCAGCAUGGAUUUCUGGAGGCUGAGACAACCAGCCACCAUGUAUCCCACAAUGCACUGUGCGAUGAGCACAUUGCUCUAUGUUUUAUUUGUGCAGAUUAAGAGUGGGGGGAUAGGGAACUUUAUAAAUUGCAUAUUUUGCAAAUUCUGAUCUCCUUUUCUGCCCUCCUUGCCCCUUUCUUUCCUCUGUCUUAUCGAUAUUUAAAUUGUAAGCCUUCAAGCAUGGAUUUGAUUCAUUAAAACAAUAACAACACCCUAUUUAGUGCUUAGAUUUGCUUUAAGUGCAACAGGUCAGCUGAUGGAAUGUUCAGGUAACCCUGGAAAAUAUCUGCUGGCUACUGUGGCAGUUAGAGCCAAAUCUUUUGUGUCCGGUUAUUGCUGUUCACUUGUUUAGCUUGACGACAGUGUCCUCUGUUAUGGGGUAAAGUGUCCUAUUCAUUUCACUGUGUGUUUUGAAUGCUCAAACAGAUAAGAACAUAAGGGUCUUGCUGGACUCUAAUCCAGCAUCCUGCUUCCCACAGUGGCUCUGGGAAGCCCACAAAUAGGAGAGGAAGGCAUGCCCCUUCUCCUGCCAUGGCUUCCCCUGCAACUGGUAUUCAGAGGCAUCCUGCCUCUCAAACUGGGGGCAGCCUAUAGCCUUCAAGACUAGUAGCCAUUAAUCGUCAUCCUCCAAGAAUUUAUCUAAGCCCCUUUUAAAGUCAUCCAAGCUGGUGCUAUCACCACAUCCUGUGGUAGAGAAUUCCAUAGAUUAAUUAUGCACUGUGAGAAAAGUACAACACAGUCUCAAAGCCAAUGUGGAUGGGGAUGAUGGGACUUGUAGUCCAGCAUAUGAGGGCCCUGGUUUGAGACCCCUGUGUUAGGGCACUUCCACAAUAGAAAGCUGAAAUCUGGUGAGUAUAUAGUCCUAGAGACAGCCAUAAGGAUGUGGGAUAAAGAUAUGCUCCCACGGGGGAUAUUCCUGAUCCUUAUACCUCAGGAAAGCUAAUGUAACAACUGUAGUUAUUGCUGGAUUACCUGUACUACAAAACUUCUGCCAUGUAUCACUCAUUCUUCCCAUGCCAUCCAGUUAUGAGCAAAGGCUGGCAGUCUGCAAGAUUCUAGAUCUAUGCUACAUUUGUGAGAUUAGAGAGUUAGGCCCUGAAUAGGGACCGCCUGCUCCCAAGGGUUUCUGCCCGCUCAACGAGGUCAUCAGAGGUCAUCAAAUCUAACUUGUAAAUUAGAUUUGUAUUUAUUUUAUUUAGCAAGUCUCUGUGUUUGUUUGUUUUUUGCAAACUGGUUUUAUG